rnacentral:rRNA from 1 species
UCCCCUAGUAACUGCGAGUGAAGCGGGAAAAGCUCAAAUUUAAAAUCUGGCAGCAUUUGGCUGUCCGAGUUGUANCCUAGAGAAGUGUUGCCCGUGCUGGACCAUGUANAAGUCUCCUGGAACGGAGCGUCGCAGAGGGUGAGAAUCCCGUGUAUGACAUGGACUGCCAGUACAGUGUGGUAUGCUCUCAAAGAGUUGAGUUGUUUGGGAAUGCAGCUCUAAAUGGGUGGUAAAUUCCAUCUAAAGCUAAAUAUUGGCGAGAGACCGAUAGCGAACAAGUACCGUGAGGGAAAGAUGAAAAGAACUUUGGAAAGAGAGUUAAACAGUACGUGAAAUUGUUGAAAGGGAAACGUUUGAAGUCAGUCGUGUUGGUCAGGGAUC